AAAAUUUUAAGAUCUUGGACAACGGAUGUCUUGGCUCCUCACACGAAGAAGAACGUUGCAUAAUGUGAUAAGUAACUGGAGUUGCAAACAUUGUGACAAGUUAAUCUUUGAAUGCACAUUGCGCGUGCCUUAUAAUUUAUUAUGAGGUGCAUAUUUGAUUCAGUAUCCUAUUUAAUUUUAAAAUUCUUCUUAAUUAAAAAAUAUUUUUAAUAUUUUUUAUUUUAAAAGAAGUAAAUUAAAAAUUUUUAAGUUUUAAAUAAAAUGGAUCUGAUUCAAGUAGGAGAACCCGCUGAACUGAAGCAUCUUAUUAAGCGGAGGAAAAGAAACUAACUAGGAUUCCCUUACUAAAGGCGAUCGAAGAGGGAAUAGCCCAAAAGUCUAAUCCUGAAAAGGAGAUGUAGACAUUGUAUCUUUGCUAAUGUUUAAGUUGUCUCGAUUGACACACGAUUCAGAGUUUUAGUCUCGUAAAACAAUAGCAAGUAUGGUACUUUGGAGUGAGUCGGGUACCUUGAGAGUGGUGCCUUAAGUCGGUGGUAUGCCCCAUCGAAGGCUAAAUAUAGUGAGGAGACCGAUAGCAUACAAGUAGUGUGAACGAAAGAUGAAAAGACCUCCAAAACGGAGAGUGCAAAGCGCCUGAACUUGUCCAGGUUUAAGGCUAUUUAUAGCGCCCGUCUUGAAACACGGAUUAGGGAGUUUAUCUGUAAUGCGAGUUUUUGUCAUUUAAAGAUAAAAGCGUAAAGAAAUUGACUGGCAUUUGCAUGGCGUUUGAGCAGUACAGAUAGAACCCGAAAGGUGGUGAACUAUGCCUGCACAGGACGAAGUCAGGGGAAACUCUGAUGGAGGUCCGUAGCGUUAUUGAUGUGCAAAUCAUUUGUCAGAUGUAGGUAUAGGUGCGAAAGACUCAUCGAACCUCCUAAUAGCUGGUUUCCUCCGAAGUUUCCCUCAGGAUAGCUGUAACGCAUAUAGUUAAGGGGAGUAGAGAAAUGGGUAGAGGUGUAGGGGCGCUUCGGUGCCUCAACUUAUUUCCAAACUUCGAAUCUCCUUGUUAUUAAUUUACCUAAUAGGAAAUUAAUAAAUGAAUUGGCGUUAUAAGUGGGCUCUGACCGGUAAGCGGUCAUGGCGAAAUGGGAUGAACCAUACGUUAAGAUAAGGUGCCUAAAUAUACCACCACUGAUACCAUUAAGAGAGUCCAUGUAUUAAAACAGCAGGUCGGUGUCCCUAAAAGUAGGCAUCCGCUAAUGAGUGUGUUAAAACUCCCCUGCCGAAUACUAGGGCCUCGAAAAUGAAUGGCGCAUAUGGUAUUACCGAUACUUAACACUUCUUUAGAUAAAGAAGGAGUAGGAGGAUGUGGACAUUUUAAAGAAGAUAUCAUGUAAGUGAUAUUGGAAGAGUGUCUAUUACAGAUCCUAAUUGAAGUAGCGUUUAUCCAGGUUAACAUCCUGGGGGCUGAUGAGGAGUAGGGUUUCUGGGCAACAUAAACUGUCCCAGAGUUAGUCGAUCCUGAUCUCAAUAAUGAGAGAAAGGGAGUACGGUUGAUAUUCCGUAACUGACAACAGGUAGCGGUAACGCUUUCUAUCUUUCUCCAUCGAUCUUAUACCGUUUGGCAGGGAUCUCUUUCCUGUAUGACAACAUUUAUAUCCAAGGAAUCAGGUCAACUGGGGAUUUGUGAUGUUUUGUUGGCAAAACGCAGCAUUUGUUGCGUCAUUGGCUAUUGGAUUGAUCCAUGAAGCGAGAGAUAGAUUACUGUGUCAUUCGUACCGAUGACCGCAUCAGGUCUCCAAGGUGAGUAGCCUAUGGCCAUUGAGGCAUGAUAGUUUAGGGAAUUCGGCCAAUUAGAGCUGUAACUUCGGGAUAAAGCUUGGCUCUGAUGAAAAUCAGAACCGAUUGUUACGAGGAGAGCCCAACUGUUUAAUAAAAACACAGCGUCGCGCUGUUCUCUUAUAGGAAGUUAACGCGACGUGAAUCCUGCUCAGUGCUGUGUCUGUUAACAUGGUUCAAGCCAACGAAGCACCGGUAAAUAGCUGGGGUAACUAUGACUCUUAUCAAAGUAGCGAAAUACCUCGUCACUUAAUUAGUGACCUGCAUGAACGGAGCAACGAGGUUCUCACUGUCCCAAACUGUCUCUCAGCGAACCAACUGUAGUGGGAACGGGCACUAACUAUCCAGCGGGGAAAGAAGACCCUGUAGAGCUUCACUUUGGUCUAGUCUUGUAUGGUUCCUGCGGGGGUGCAGACUAGGUGGGAGAGCAAUCGAUUAUGAGAAACCACUACCCUGUUUGGAAUUAUGCUUACCUCCUUGAGGAAUAGGACUAGAUAGAAAGUUUGGCUGGGGCGGCACACCUUCGAAAAAGCAGCGAAGGUGUCCUAAGUUGAGCUCAGUGAGGACAGAAAUCUCACGUUGAGGAUAAGGCCAAAAGCUCAAUUUACUGUGCCUUUUUGUACUAGGACCAGUUUGGAAACAAAGGCCUAACGAUCCCUAAUUAGUCUUAGGUGCGUAAGACUUGGGGUGACAGACAAGUUACCUCCGGGACAACUGGCUUGUGGCUGCUAAGAGAUCAAAUCAACGCAGCUUUUUGAUUCUUCGAUGUCGGCUCUUCCUAUCCUAGUGAUGUAUAAGUUACUAAGGGUUGGAUUGUUCACCCGUAUUAGGGAUCGUGAGCUGGGUUUAGACCGUCGUGAGCCAGGUUUGUUUUAUCCUACUGGAUAUACCAUCAUGAUAGUAGUUUGAUUUAGUACGAGAGGAACUGUUGAAUAUGGCCUCUGGUUAGCGAUUUUGGGAAACCGAAUGUCGCGCAGCUACGCCGUCUGGGAUAAUGGCUGAAGGCCUCUUAAGCCAGAAACUCAUCUAGAAAAUGAUGGAUUGUAUAUGUUCUCCUACAGAAUAAUUUUAAUUUUCAAGGAGUAAUAUACUAGGUAACCCAAUGUAGAAGACAUUGUAUCAACGAGGGUCCUGUAAGUGGUGGAGUGGCAUUACGUCCACGACCUAUUGAGGGUCAGCCUUGUUUGU
rnacentral:rRNA from 1 species